GACCAUCUAUAUAUAUGCAUCACUUGAAAGCCUUGCCCAUCAAGGAGCUGUCAAGUGUUCCUAGUUGCAUUAGGAUUAGGUUGUUCAAUCCAUAUAGAAUUAGGAAUUCCAUUGUCUCUUGUAUUUCAAUUAGGAUAGCUUUUAUACAAGGAUAAUCUGAUUAGUUUGAGUAUAUCUCUAAACAUGCAAAACUCUAGAAUCCCUACAUGAUUAGAAGACCACAAUUUCGUGGUUAAGACAGUAAUUUGUCUUACAUUCUCCCACUUGGUCGAUUAAUCAUAAGAGUGUUUGCAUAGAUCACUUUAGAUGCCUGGUGAAAUAUAACUCAAAACAAUUCCCACUAAGCAAUUGUCAACUAUAAAACAUGAAGAGGGGUUAUCAAGAUUUCUGUGAAUAUCUUGUACUUCAAGAUCUUUAUAACCACACUCAACACCCUUUAUAAUCACAUAAGCUUCGAUCAAGAUUGAACUGUAGAACAACAUGAUAUACUGUAAAAGCUAAAAAAAAAAAAAAAAAAUCAUGUUUGUUCAAUGUCCCAGAUUUUGACUUCCAAGGUCUUUAUUAAAUUCACUGUCAUGAAUGCAUUGCCAUGCGCAGCUUCUUUAAGCUAGCAAAUGCUGCUAAAUGCUAUUCAUGUGUUUUUCAAAAUACAACAACAUAAUUUUGAGAUAAAAUUAACUUUAAUUUGAACCAAAACUGUAUCAACAUCCAUCGAAACUAUAGAAAAACCUCAACUUUUGAAACUUGAAACAAAACCAAGCUCCCACUGAUUUAGACUUCCUUAUCAGCUGUCAAUCCCAUACUAAAAACAUGUCUAUGAAAAACAGCAUUUGGCACUCCUUUAGUAAGUGGAUCUGCAAUCAUUUGUUCUGUUCCUAUAUGAUCUAUGGUGGUGUAUCCUUGACUGAUCUUUUCCUUGACGAUUAUGAACUUUACAUCCAGUAGCCUUGAACCUCUUGUUCUUUUGUUUCCCUUGGCAAAAGUCACUACUGCACUAUUGUCAUUCCAUAGCUGAAUGGGCCUAUGAAUCGAUUCCACCACACUUAAGCUAAUAAUAAAGUUCCUCAACCACAUAGCUUGUGAAGUGGCUUCAUAGCAUGCUAAAAAUUCAGCAAGCAUUGUGGAUCCUACUGUGAGAGGCUGUUUUAUGCUUCUCCACAAAACUGCAGCUCCUCCAAACAUAAACACAAAACCAGAUGUGGAUUUUAAUGUGUCUUGACAACCUGCAAAGUCUGCAUCUGCAAAUCCUUGUAAUUCCAAAUUCUCGCUUCUUUUGAAUACCAGCUUGUAGUCUUUUGUUCUCUGUAGGUAUCUCAUGACUUUCUUCCCUGCAACCCAAUGUGCUUGUCCAGGAUUAGACUGAAACCUCCCUAACAUGCUGACUGCAAAAGCCAGAUCAGGUCUUGUACAUACCUGCGCAUACAUUAGCUCCCUACUAGUGAAGCAUAGGGUUUGUCAGCCAUUUCAAGCUUUUCUUGUUCAGUUUUAGGUGCCUGCUCAGUGCUCAAUUUAUCACCUUUUGCAAUGGGAAUAUCACUACCUGCACAAUCUUGCAUAUUGAAUCUUUUGAGCACCUUUUCAAUAUAAGAUCUCUGUGAUAAUCCAAGUAAACCUUUCUCUCGAUUUCUGCUUAUGUCUAUCCCCAAAACAUAGCUUGCUUCUGCCAUAUCGGUCAUAUCAAAAUGUUUAAAUAGAAAACUUUUACAAUCAUGCAGCAUAGUAAGAUUUGUGCAAGCCAACAAAAUGUCAUCCACAUAAAGGACUAGAAUAAUGAAAUGUCUCCCACUAGUCUUCAUGUAUAUGCACUCAUCCAAUGCAUUUUCUGUGAAUCCAUAUGCUUUUACAACCUUAUUAAAUUUCAAAUACCAUUGUCUCGAGGCUUGCUUCAAUCCAUAGAUUGAUUUGCACAAUUUGCAGACCAAACUCUUCUCCUUUUCUUGAAUAAAACCUUCCGGCUGCAUCAUGUAAAUUUCUUUUUCAAGGUCUCCAUUUAAGAAGGCAGUCUUAACGUCCAUCUGGUGUAAAUGCAAAUCAAAAUGUGCUACCAAUGCCAUGAUUAUUCUUAGUGAAUCUUUAGUUGAGACAGGUGAAAAGGUCUCAUUGUAAUCAAUUCCUUCCUUUUGUGUAAACCCUUUGGCAACCAAUCUUGCCUUAUACCUAUCCACCUGUCCUUUUGAGUUUCUCUUUGUCUUGAACACCCAUUUACAACCUAUUGGUUUGCAACCUUGAGGUAAGGUCACAAGCUUCCAAACUCCAUUCUUCUCCAUUGAAUUCAACUCUGAUUUCAUGGCUGCCCACCAGUUUUCACUCUUUUCACUCAUCAUUGCUUGUUUGAAUGUCAUGGGAUCCUCAGUUCUAUUUAUAUCAUGCUCAGCCCCUUGUAGAUACACAAAAUAAUCAUCUGUCAAUGCUGGUCUUCUAAUUUUGUGUGAUCUUCUCAGUUCUGAGUUCUGCUGUAUUUCUGCAUCUUCUUCUGUUUGAACUGUGUCUUGGUUUUCUACUGGCAGUGGCUGAUUAUUAUCCAUCUGCAUUGGUUCUGCAGUUUCAGUUUGAUUUGUAACUGUAAUCUCAAUUUGAUCCAGUUGUGAGUUGUCUAAGUUUAUUUGAGGCAGUCUUACAGCUUCUUCUGCAGGACCCUGUGCUAUCAAAAGGUCAGCAGUAGUCUCUUCAAAACUGAAGUUCUCUUCUGCAGUUUUCUCUUCAUUAGUUUCUAUGAACACUGCUCUUGAUGUCUCUAUGAAUCUCAUAGUGUGAUGAGGGCAGUAAAACUUAUAGCCUUUGGUUCUUUCAGGGUAACCAAUAAAAUGACAACUUAUGGUUUUGGGAUCUAGUUUCUUUUCUGCAGGAUUAUAAGGUUUAGCUUCUGCUUUACAACCCCAAGUUCUUAGAUGUUUUAGGCUAGGUUUUCUUCCAUUCCAGAUCUCAUAAGGGAUCUGAUUAAUGCUCUUGGUUGGAACUCUAUUUAGAACAUAAUUGGCAGUUUUCAAAGCUUCUCCCCAGAGGAAAAUUGGUAAGUUUGCACAGCUCAUCAUGCUCCUAAUCAUGUCUUUCAAUGUUUUAUUUCUUCUUUCUGAAAUUCCAUUCUGUUGAGGAGUGCCUGGUGUCACGGCCCGCAUGUUCAAGGCCCAUGUUCAAGGCCCAGCCCGUUGGAUUGAUCAUGCUAGACCUCUUAGCCCACUUGUCCACCUACUAGAAUAGUAGAUAAGAAUGGUAGGUGGGAAUGGUAGGUGAGAAUGUUAGGUGAGAAUGUUAGGUGAGAAUGUUAGGUGGGAAUGGUUGGUGGGAUGGGGCCCGCAUCUUUGCCACCUACGAUGGUAGGAAUGUGUAUAUAAGGAGGAUCUCACAUUGUGAAUCCUCACCUCACAACUUGUAAAGCAUUGAGUAGCAAUACAAGCAUAUAUUCUCCCAAACUUGCUUAAGUGUUCUUAUCUUGCUUAAGUGUUCUUAUUGUGUUCUUACUCUUGCGAUUGUUCUUUGCUUGUUUCGAUCUUAUAUUGUAGGAAGGAGGCUGACUUAGCUUGUUCGAGAGGCGAUCAAGUCUAAGGCCGCACGGAAGGAAGACUCCGAAAAAGUCAUCCCGUGACAGUUGGUAUCAGAGCGAAAGCUCGAAUCAUUCAAAGAAGCAUGUCGAAGAGCGGAUCAGAUGUGGAGAUAUACCUGUCCAAGGUCAACGUGGAUCGUGGGGGCAAAUCAAAGAGGGAACGAUCUAGAGAUGUGGUGGCCAUAAUGGAGAAGCGGCUUUCUAAGAUGGAGAUUGCCGUGGUCGAGUUCGAUCAACGACUUGAGGAGGACGUCCUUACGAAGGGGGGCUUCGAAGAUGCAGUGGAUGAGCUUCAAGGCCAAUUCCAGGGAGUCCUCAACUCCGCGCUAGAUGGCAUCAAGCUAGAUGUUCAAACCAAGCUGGAUCACUUCUUAGCGGAGCUUACUUCGCUUCGUGAUGAGAUGAAGGAUGUGAAGGGAGAUUGGGCUUUGUGCAAGGAAGCUGUCUUGAACAAGACCCGAACUCCGAAGGAACCCAAGGUGCUAGAUUCUUUCAAGCCCAAAUCCUAUAAUGGGAAGAGGGAGGCGAAGGAGCUGGACACUUUCUUGUGGAAUAUCGAAAGAUAUUUCAAGUAUCUAAAGCUCGAGGAUGAUGAGCCCAAGAUCAAUGCGGCAACAUUGUUUCUCACCGACCAUGCUCUCAUGUGGUGGCGUCGUCGAUCUAUGGAGAUCGAACAAGGUACGUUUACACUUAAGACUUGGGACAAUUUUAAGAAGGAUAUUAUGUUGCAUUUCUAUCCAGAGAAUGCCAAGUAUGAGGCAAAGGAGAAGCUAAGAUGGCUGAAGCAAACUGGGAGCGUGAAAGACUAUGUCGCCACGUUCACCAACCUGUUGUUCGAGGUGCCUAGUAUGACAGAUGAAGACAAGCUCAUGUACUUCAUGAGUGGCCUACAGAAUUGGGCCAAGCUGGAGUUACAACGGAGACAUGUCCAAACCUUGUCAGAGGCAAUUGCUGCAGCAGAGUCUCUUGUUGAGUUCAAGAGGGAUAGUCAAGGCGACUCCAAGUUCAAAGGAAAGAAAGGUGACAGUGGAUCCGGUGGGGGAGAGAACAAGCCAAAAGAGGGUAGCAAGUCAGGAGACAAGUCUGACGGUCACAAGUCAUCCUGGAGGAAGAAUGACAAAGGUGAUAAGGGGAAAGACAAGUCGAAGCUAGCUUGCUACUUGUGCGAGGGACCGCACAUGAUGCGGGAUUGUCCGAAGAAGAAAGCUCUAAAUGCUAUGAACCAAGAGAAGGGAGAGGAGGCCGAGAGGGAAGCAGGAAUGGGGGCCAUUCGCCGCUUCAAUGCCUUGCAGGCCAAAGCAGCUCAACCACAAGUUCAAGCCAAAGGAGUGAUGUUCGUUGAUGCCAUGGUGAAUGGCAAGACAACCCGUUGCCUGGUGGAUACAGGUGCUUCGCACAACUUUAUGUCCGUGCAGGAAGCAAAGAGGCUUGGGUGUCGAGUCUCGAAGGAAGCAGGCAGUAUGAAGACGGUGAAUUCAACUGCCAAGCCCAUUGAUGGAGUAGCUCGUGGUGUGGAGCUACACCUUGCCACUUGGAAGGGAGUGGCUGACUUCUCCGUGAUCUCGAUGGAUGACUACGAUGUCGUGCUAGGAAUGGAGUUCAUGGACAAGGUAAAGGCAUUUCCCAUUCCAUUUUACAAUACUAUGUGCAUUGCACAAGGUGGAACAAUGCCAUGCAUGGUGCCAGUAGUAAGGCAACAAAGCGAGACGAAGCUUUUGUCGGCCAUGCAAUUUUCCAAGUCUUGGAAGAAGGGCGAACCGACGUUCCUUGCAACUAUGCAGAUGGAUAUAGUUGAGAAGGAAGUCCAACCAGUCCCGAAAGCUGUGGAGGCAAUCCUUAAGGAGUUUGCAGAUAUCAUGCCCAAGGAGUUGCCCAAAACCUUACCACCUAGGAGAGAGGUGGAUCAUGCCAUUGAGCUGGAACCGGGUGCCAAACCCCCAGCCAAAGCGUCAUACCGGAUGGCACCUCCUGAGUUGGAGGAAUUAAGGAAGCAGUUGAAGCAGUUGUUGGACGCUGGGUACAUCCAACCAUCCAAGGCCCCUUAUGGUGCCCCAGUUCUUUUCCAGAAGAAGAGGGAGGGAACACUGAAGUUGUGCAUCGACUACAGGGCACUAAACAAGGUGACCAUCAAAAACAAGUAUCCAAUCCCUUUGAUUGCAGAUUUGUUUGAUCAGUUGGGAGGAGCGAAGUACUUCACCAAGUUGGACUUGCGCUCGGGAUACUAUCAAGUGAGGAUCGCACCGGGAGAUGAAUCAAAGACCACAUGUGUGACGAGAUAUGGGUCUUACGAGUUCCUUGUCAUGCUGUUCGGCUUGACUAACGCCCCUGCAACAUUUUGCACUCUUAUGAACAAGGUAUUCCAUCCUUUCUUGGACAAGUUUGUUGUAGUUUACAUCGAUGAUAUUGUGGUGUACAGCAAUUCUCUAGAGGAACACCUUGAGCAUUUGCAGAAGGUCUUCCAAGUUCUAAGGGAGAACCAGCUCUAUGUGAAGAAGGAGAAAUGCUCAUUUGUCCAAGAAGAGGUUGAGUUCCUUGGUCACAAGAUACGGGGAGGACAAUUGCUCAUGGAGGAGGGCAAGGUGCAAGCCAUUCAAGAAUGGGAACCACCAAUCAAAGUACCUGAGUUGCGGUCUUUCCUUGGAUUGGUGAACUACUAUCGCAGGUUCAUCAAGGGAUAUUCAGCCAUAGCCGCUCCCCUGACGGAUUUGCUAAAGAAGAACAAGACGUGGGAAUAGACACCCCGAUGCCAACAUGCCUUCGAUGAGUUGAAGAGGGCUCUUAUGGAAGAACCAGUGCUGAGACUUCCGGACCUUAGCAAACCCUUCGAGGUACACACUGAUGCAUCAGAUUUUGCUAUUGGUGGUGUACUCAUGCAGGAUGGACACCCAUUGGCUUUCGAGAGUCGGAAGCUCAAUGACACGGAGCGGAGGUAUACCGUUCAAGAGAAGGAGAUGACAGCCGUAGUGCACUGCUUGCGGACUUGGAGGCACUACUUACUUGGUUCUCAGUUCGUGGUCAGGACUGACAAUAUUGCCACAAGCUACUUUCAGUCCCAACAGAAGUUGUCACCCAAGCAGGCUAGGUGGCAAGACUUCUUGGCGGAGUUCGACUACAAACUGGAGUACAAGCAAGGGAAGACAAAUGUCGUUGUCGAUGCCUUAAGUAGGAAGGCCAUACUAGCAGCUGUCACGCAACCCCAGAGUUCUCUCAUGCAGAGAAUACGAGAGGGCUUGUUGCAUGAUCCCCAAGCCAAAAGUCUGUUGGAGCUUGUCAAAGAUGGGAAGAUAAGGAGAUUUUGGCUCGAUGAUGGGGUUCUCUAUGCAACAGGGAAGAGGAUCUAUGUUCCAAGGUGAGACAAUCUGAGGCGAGAACUAAUGAAAGAGUGUCAUGACUCGAAGUGGGCGGGACAUCCGGGCACUCAUCGGACAUUAGCCUUGAUGAGUGAAGCUUACUAUUGGCCACAGAUGCGAGAAGAUGUAGACUCGUUCGUGCGGACUUGCCUUGUAUGCCAACAAGACAAGACAUUGCAGAAGCAGCCGGGUGGGUUGCUAGAGCCACUUCCUGUUCUAACCAGACCAUGGGAGAGUUUGUCCAUGGACUUCAUUGUGAGUCUACCCAAGUCAGAAGGGUGUGGCUCAAUUUUGGUGGUGGUUGACAGGUUCACCAAGUAUGCUACCUUCAUCCCCGCAUCGACAGAGUGCAAUGCAGAGGAAGCUGCACGCUUGUUUAUGAAGCAUGUGGUGAAGUACUGGGGGAUCCCCAAGAGUAUUAUCAGUGACCGUGACGGUCGCUUCACUGGUAAACUUUGGACGGAGCUCUUCAAGCUACUUGGCUCACAGUUGAACUUCUCUACCAGCUUUCACCCACAAACAGACGGUCAGACAGAGAGGGUGAAUGCACUGUUGGAGCUAUACUUGAGGCAUUAUGUGAGUGCCAACCAGCGAGAUUGGGCAAAGUUGUUGGAUAUUGCUCAGUUCUCAUACAACUUGCAGCGGUCGGAGUCGACAGGGUCAAGUCCUUUUGAGUUGGCAACAGGACAACAACCCAUAACACCGAACACAGUGGUGUCAGGCUACACGGGGAGUAGCCCUGCUGCAUACAAAACGGCCAAGGAGUGGCAGGUGACUAAUGAGCUGGCUCGGGCUCAAUUGGAAAAGGCAACUCGGAAGAUGAAGAAAUGGGCAGACAAGCAUCGACGGGACGUUGUGUUCCAACCAGGUGAUCAGGUCUUUGUAAAGCUCAACCCUUCUCAACACAAGUCCACUAGAAGAUUGCACAAAGCAUUAUUGAGGAGAUAUGAGGGUCCAUUUCCCAUCAUCCGAUCAGUGGGAAGAGCUGCUUACCGUGUGGAACUACCACCUCGACUGAAGAUUCAUCCGGUGUUCCACGUAAGCAAUCUCAAGCCCUACCAUGCUGACCCCGAGGAGCCAAGUCGUGGAGAAUCUCAACGAGCUCCACCUUUGAUGGUGACUUCAUUUGACAAGGAGGUUGAGUGCGUCAUGGCCAAGCGAGAGGUACGACGCAAGGGUGUACCGAGGUACUUUGAGUACUUUGUCAAAUGGAAGGGCCUGCCAGAGUCCGAAGGCAAUUGGGAGAAAGAAGAGUCCUUGUGGAACUACAAGGACAGUAUUGAAGCAUUCGAACGAGACGGAUCUACCACGGCAACGAGGACGUUGCCGGAUUAGGUGGGGGAGAAUGUCACGGCCCGCAUGUUCAAGGCCCAUGUUCAAGGCCCAGCCCGUUGGAUUGAUCAUGCUAGACCUCUUAGCCCACUUGUCCACCUACUAGAAUAGUAUAUAAGAAUGGUAGGUGGGAAUGGUAGGUGAGAAUGUUAGGUGAGAAUGUUAGGUGGGAAUGGUUGGUGGGAUGGGGCCCGCAUCUUUGCCACCUACCAUGGUAGGAAUGUGUAUAUAAGGAGGAUCUCACAUUGUGAAUCCUCACCUCACAACUUGUAAAGCAUUGAGUAGCAAUACAAGCAUAUAUUCUCCUAAACUUGCUUAAGUGUUCUUAUCUUGCUUAAGUGUUCUUAUUGUGUUCUUGCUCUUGCGAUUGUUCUUUGCUUGUUUCGAUCUUAUAUUGUAGGAAGGAGGCUGACUUAGCUUGUUCGAGAGGCGAUCAAGUCUAAGGCCGCACGGAAGGAAGACUCCGAAAAAGUCAUCCCGUGACACUGGGACCAUCUAUAUAUAUGCAUCACUUGAAAGCCUUGCCCAUCAAGGAGCUGUCAAGUGUUCCUAGUUGCAUUAGGAUUAGGUUGUUCAAUCCAUAUAGAAUUAGGAAUUCCAUUGUCUCUUGUAUUUCAAUUAGGAUAGCUUUUAUACAAGGAUAAUCUGAUUAGUUUGAGUAUAUCUCUAAACAUGCAAAACUCUAGAAUCCCUACAUGAUUAGAAGACCACAAUUUCGUGGUUAAGACAAUAAUUUGUCUUACAUUCUCCCAGUUUCAUCAAACCUUCCAUAAUAUUCUCCACCCCUAUCUGAACGAACUACUUUGAUUUUGAGGUUCAAUUGAUUUUCUACUUCAGCUUUGUAUAUUUUGAACAUAUCUAAAGCACUUGAUUUUUCUUUUGUGAGAUAAACAUGUCCAAAUCUUGAAAAAUUGUCUGUGAAAGUUAUGAAGUAGGUGAACCCUUCAUGAGUUGGAUUAGGAAAGGGACCACAGAUAUCUGUGUGAAUGAGUUCCAAAACACCUUUGCUUCCUAUGGCUCCCUUUUUUCUUAAAUUUGUCAAUUUCCCUUUGACACAUUCAAUGCAUAUUUCAUUUUGACUGUCAUGAUUCAUUGGUGGCAAGAUCGAUUCUUUGCAUAGUUGAUUAAUCCUUUCUCUUGAGAUAUGACCAAGUCUUUUA
rnacentral:lncRNA from 1 species